rnacentral:rRNA from 1 species
GACGAACGCUGGCGGCGUGCUUAACACAUGCAAGUCGAACGGAAAGGCCCUGCUUGCAGGGUACUCGAGUGGCGAACGGGUGAGUAACACGUGGGUGAUCUGCCCUGCACUUCGGGAUAAGCCUGGGAAACUGGGUCUAAUACCGGAUAGGAGCCAUUUUUAGUGUGAUGGUUGGAAAGUUUUUUCGGUGUAGGAUGAGCUCGCGGCCUAUCAGCUUGUUGGUGGGGUAAUGGCCUACCAAGGCGGCGACGGGUAGACGGCCUGAGAGGGUGGACGGCCACAUUGGGACUGAGAUACGGCCCAGACUCCUACGGGAGGCAGCAGUGGGGAAUAUUGCACAAUGGGCGCAAGCCUGAUGCAGCGACGCCGCGUGGGGGAUGACGGCCUUCGGGUUGUAAACUCCUUUCGCUAGGGUCGAAGCUUUUUGUGACGGUACCUAGAUAAGAAGCACCGGCUAACUACGUG